AUUGAACGCUGGCGGCAUGCCUUACACAUGCAAGUCGAACGGCAGCACGGGAGCAAUCCUGGUGGCGAGUGGCGAACGGGUGAGUAAUAUAUCGGAACGUGCCCGGUCGUGGGGAUAACGUAGCGAAAGCUACGCUAAUACUGCAUACGAUCUACGGAUGAAAGCGGGGGAUCGCAAGACCUCGCGCGAUUGGAGCGGCCGAUAUCAGAUUAGGUAGUUGGUGAGGUAAAGGCUCACCAAGCCGACGAUCUGUAGCUGGUCUGAGAGGACGACCAGCCACACUGGGACUGAGACACGGCCCAGACUCCUACGGGAGGCAGCAGUGGGAAUUUUGGACAAUGGCGCAAGCCUGAUCCAGCAAUGCCGCGUGCAGGAUGAAGGCCUUCGGGUUGUUAAACGUU
rnacentral:rRNA from 1 species